rnacentral:tRNA from 1 species
GGGGAUGUAGUUCAGUGGGAGAGUGCUUGCUUUGCAGGUGAGAGUUCCUGGGUUCAACCCUCAGCAUCUCCA